rnacentral:rRNA from 1 species
AGAACGAACGCUGGCGGCAGGCUUAACACAUGCAAGUCGAACGCCCCGCAAGGGGAGUGGCAGACGGGUGAGUAACGCGUGGGAAUCUACCCAGUUCUACGGAAUAACACAGGGAAACUUGUGCUAAUACCGUAUACGCCCUACGGGGGAAAGAUUUAUCGGGAUUGGAUGAGCCCGCGUUGGAUUAGCUAGUUGGUGGGGUAAUGGCCUGCCAAGGCGACGAUCCAUAGCUGGUCUGAGAGGAUGAUCAGCCACACUGGGACUGAGACACGGCCCAGACUCCUACGGGAGGCAGCAGUGGGGAAUAUUGGACAAUGGGCGCAAGCCUGAUCCAGCCAUGCCGCGUGAGUGAUGAAGGCCUUAGGGUUGUAAAGCUCUUUCAGGGGGGACGAAGCCACCAGGGUUAAUAGCCCAUGGGGUGACGGUACUCCCAGAAGAAGCCCCGGCUAACUACGUGCCAGCAGCCG